UAAGCCGUUGAAGGUGUGUUGUAAAGCAUGCUGGAGGUAUCAGAAGUGCGAAUGCUGACAUGAGUAACGACAAGGGGGGUGAAAAACCUCCCCGCCGGAAGACCAAGGGUUCCUGUCCAACGUUAAUCGGGGCAGGGUAAGUCGACCCCUAAGGCGAGGCCGAAAGGCGUAGUCGAUGGGAAACGGGUUAAUAUUCCCGUACUUCUUACAAUUGCGAUGGGGGGACGGAGAAGGCUAGGUGGGCCUGGCGACGGUUGUCCAGGUUCAAGUGCGUAGGCUGAGUGUUUAGGUAAAUCCGGACACUCUUAAGGCUGAGACACGACGUCGAGCUACUACGGUAGUGAAGUCAUUGAUGCCAUGCUUCCAGGAAAAGCCUCUAAGCUUCAGAUUGUAAGGAAUCGUACCCCAAACCGACACAGGUGGUCGGGUAGAGAAUACCAAGGCGCUUGAGAGAACUCGGGUGAAGGAACUAGGCAAAAUGGUACCGUAACUUCGGGAGAAGGUACGCUCUUGAUGGUGAAGUCCCUUGCGGAUGGAGCUGACGAGAGUCGCAGAUACCAGGUGGCUGCAACUGUUUAUUAAAAACACAGCACUGUGCAAAAUCGUAAGAUGACGUAUACGGUGUGACGCCUGCCCGGUGCCGGAAGGUUAAUUGAUGGGGUUAGCGUAAGCGAAGCUCUUGAUCGAAGCCCCGGUAAACGGCGGCCGUAACUAUAACGGUCCUAAGGUAGCGAAAUUCCUUGUCGGGUAAGUUCCGACCUGCACGAAUGGCGUAAUGAUGGCCACGCUGUCUCCACCCGAGACUCAGUGAAAUUGAAAUCGCUGUGAAGAUGCAGUGUACCCGCGGCUAGACGGAAAGACCCCGUGAACCUUUACUACAGCUUGGCACUGAACAUUGAACCUACAUGUGUAGGAUAGGUGGGAGGCUUUGAAGACGUGACGCCAGUUGCGUUGGAGCCGUCCUUGAAAUACCACCCUUGUAUGUUUGAUGUUCUAACGUUGGCCCCUAAUCGGGGUUGCGGACAGUGCCUGGUGGGUAGUUUGACUGGGGCGGUCUCCUCCCAAAGAGUAACGGAGGAGCACGAAGGUGGGCUAAUCACGGUUGGACAUCGUGAGGUUAGUGCAAUGGCAUAAGCCCGCUUAACUGCGAGAAUGACGGUUCGAGCAGGUGCGAAAGCAGGUCAUAGUGAUCCGGUGGUUCUGAAUGGAAGGGCCAUCGCUCAACGGAUAAAAGGUACUCCGGGGAUAACAGGCUGAUACCGCCCAAGAGUUCAUAUCGACGGCGGUGUUUGGCACCUCGAUGUCGGCUCAUCACAUCCUGGGGCUGAAGUCGGUCCCAAGGGUAUGGCUGUUCGCCAUUUAAAGUGGUACGCGAGCUGGGUUUAGAACGUCGUGAGACAGUUCGGUCCCUAUCUGCCGUGGGCGUUGGAAGAUUGAAGGGGGCUGCUCCUAGUACGAGAGGACCGGAGUGGACGAACCUCUGGUGUUCGGGUUGUGUCGCCAGACGCAUUGCCCGGUAGCUAAGUUCGGAAUCGAUAACCGCUGAAAGCAUCUAAGCGGGAAGCGAGCCCUGAGAUGAGUCUU
rnacentral:rRNA from 1 species